GAUGAACGCUGGCGGCGUGCCUAAUACAUGCAAGUCGAGCGAACAGAUGAGGAGCUUGCUCCUCUGACGUUAGCGGCGGACGGGUGAGUAACACGUGGAUAACCUACCUAUAAGACUGGGAUAACUUCGGGAAACCGGAGCUAAUACCGGAUAAUAUAUUGAACCGCAUGGUUCAAUAGUGAAAGACGGUUUUGCUGUCACUUAUAGAUGGAUCCGCGCCGCAUUAGCUAGUUGGUAAGGUAACGGCUUACCAAGGCAACGAUGCGUAGCCGACCUGAGAGGGUGAUCGGCCACACUGGAACUGAGACACGGUCCAGACUCCUACGGGAGGCAGCAGUAGGGAAUCUUCCGCAAUGGGCGAAAGCCUGACGGAGCAACGCCGCGGGAGUGAUGAAGGUCUUCGGAUCGUAAAACUCUGUUAUUAGGGAAGAACAAAUGUGUAAGUAACUAUGCAAGUCUGGACGGUACCUAAUCAGAAAGCCACGGCUAACUACGU
rnacentral:rRNA from 1 species